rnacentral:tRNA from 1 species
UCCAAUAUGGUGUAGCGGUUUAACAUUACCGCCUUUCAAGCGUCUGCUAGAAGGACGCGGUAGCCCGGGGUUCGACUCCCCGUAUUGGAA